rnacentral:lncRNA from 1 species
CUGUAACGCCCUCGAUGCGGCUAUAUCUCCCACGUGUCGAAGCACGACUUAGAGGCAUAACCGCAUUGAAAGCAAUGUUGCAAGUGAGGUAAUCUUCACACAACCCAAGUAAUACAUAAGGGAAAAAGAUACAUAGUUGGCUUACAAUCGCCACUUCACACAAUUACAUGAAUAAAGCAUUACAUCAACCAGAUACAAUCAAGGUCCGACUACAGAACCAAAAUAAAAGAAGACUACCCCAAAUUCUACACAGAUCCCCGGUUGACCCCAACUGGGCUCCACUACUGAUCAACUAGAACGAAGCAACACAACGGACAAGAUCUUCAUCGAGCUCCUCCUUGAGCUUGGUUGCGUCACCUGCUCGGUAACAUCGGCACCUGCAAACUGGUUUGGAAGUAUUUGUGAGUCACGGGGACUCAGCAAUCUCACACCCUCGCGAUCAAGACUAUUUAAGCUUAUAGGUAGGGUAAAAGGUAUGAGGUGGAGCUGCAGCAAGCGACUAGCAUAUUUGGUGGCUAACAUAUACGCAAAUGAGAGCGAGAUGAGAAGGCAAAAGCACGGUCGAGAAACUAUGAUCAAGAAGUGAUCCUAGAACAACCUACGUCAAGCAUAACUCCAACACCGUGUUCACUUCCCGGACUUCACCAGAAAGAGACCAUCAUGGUUACACACGCGGUAGAUGUCUUUUAAUUAAGGUCAACUUCAGGUUUUCUACAACCAGGCAUUAACAAAUUCCCAUCUGCCCAUAACCGCGGGCACGACUUUCGAAAGUUCAAAUCCCUGCAGGGGUGUCCCAACUUAGCCCAUCACAAGCUCUCACGAUCAACGAAGGAUAUUCCUUCUAGCGGGAAGACCCGAUCAGGCUCGGAAUCCCGGUUACAAGACAUCCUCGACAAUGGUAAAACAAGGCCAGCAAAGCCGCCCGAUGCGCCGACAUCCUGAUGGGAGAUGCACAUAUAUCGUUCUCAGGGCAACACCGGAUAGGUCAAGCUACGAGUAAAACCAGCCCUCAAAUUUCCCCGAGGUGGCCCUGCAGACUACCCAUUUUGGCCCAACACUUAGGCAAGCACUGGCCCGGGGAGGUUAAAUAAAGAUGACCCUUGGGCUGGCCUAACCCAAGGGAAAAAGAGGCUUGGUGGCGAAUGGUAAAACCAAUGUUGGGCCUUGCUGGAGGAGUUUUAUUCAAGGUGAACUGUCAAGGGGUUCCCAUCAUAACCCAUCUACGUAAGGAACGCAAAAUCCGAGAACAUAACACUGAUAUGACGGAAACUAGGGCGGCAAGAGUGGAACAAAACACGAGGCAUAAGGCCGAGCCUUCCACCCUUUACCAAGUAUAUAGAUGCAUUAAUUAAAUAAGAGAUAUUGUGAUAUCCCACCAAAAUAUCCAUGUUCCAAACAUGGAACAAGCUCCAAUCUUCACCUGCAACUAACAACGCUAUAAGAGGGGCUGAGCAAAGUGGUAACACAGCCAAACAACGGUUUGCUAGGACAAGGUUGGUUAGAGGCUUGGCUCAACAAUGUAGGAGGUAUCAUAAUCAAGUGGUAGGUAUCGCAACAUAGGCAUAGCAAAAGAGCGAGCAACUAGCAAGCAAAGAUAGAAGUGAUUUCGAGGGUAUGGUCAUCUUGCCUGAGAUCCCGCAAGGAAGAAGAACGAGUCCAUGAAGAAGAAAAACGGACGAAGUCGAACGAAUCCUCACAACACGACGUUACCGGAUUACCGAGAAGAAGUACACCGGAAAAGGAAGCAAACAACAUAGUAAACAACCACCACAUAAGCAUGGCACGAUGCGCAAACAAGUAUGAUGCAUGUCCGGUUUAAUGAGGCAUGGCAUGGCAAAGUGCACAAUCAACACUACAAGUUAAGUGGAGCUCAAUAUGCAUCGAGAUGCAUAUUGACGAAACACCACAUUCCAUUAUUUAGUUCUCUCUCGUUUAUGUACUCAACAAUAUUAAAUGUUGUUAAACAUGGCAAGAGGGUGAAGCAAAUGAAUACUACCUAUCUAGGGAAGUUUAAAUGAGGCCGGAACAACAAACAACAAAUCCGGAAACACCUCAUGUGCAUAUAUUAGAUUUGGUACUGUUCUGCCCUAAACAUAAUUUUAGAGUUGUUAAGCAUGCAAAGUAAAGCCAUCAUGUUAAACUAGGCAAAAUUCUACCCCAUUUACAUAUAAAGUUUAUUAAAUUUGGAGCUACGGUUAUUUAGUUAUGAAAUAAAUCAUUUUAACAUGGCAUAGGGGCAAAUUUAACCAAACAGCAUUUUAAACAUUUCAAACAUGGAUGAAAGUUGCAUAUUAUUAAACUAGACAAAAUUCUAAGCAACUUUCAUAUAUAAUUUAUUUAGAUCCGAUGCAUGGUUGUGAAGUUAUUAAAUGCAUGAAGAACAUGGGCUUUUCUGCAAAACUGCCUUUCUCUAGAAAUUAGACAAAUUCGCACCAGGAAAAAAAACAACACUGGGCCGAAACUAACAGGCCCAGAAGUACACAGGGGAGGUGCUGGAGCUAGCCUCACCCAUGGGCUUCGGCCCAGGACGAUGGAGCAGUUGGCCGGCUUGAUCGCUGGGUGGCGCUUAAGGAGGCCCACGUUGUCUCUGGAGUUGGACCAGCGAGAGGGCGCGGUCAACGCGCGACUGAAGCGCUAGAGUGGCUCGAGGCAGGAGCUUCGUCCUCCUCUCCUCAACAGGUAGAAGACCAGCGGCGGCGUGGGACUUGGCGGCCCUGACGAGCAUAGGGAGCGCAUGGAACAAAGUCAACGAAGGUCGAAGAGGGGGAUCCGGCACGAAUGGAGCUCCAGUGCAAAAUCCAUGGAGGCCGGCGUGUCUUGUUCUCCCUGUGAAAGAAAAUAGAGGGGGUUGGAGGGAGUUAGGGCAUGGAAGGAGGAAGGAAAGAACGGAAGGGGAAGACGAAGGGGAGGACGACAUUGAGGCGACCGAGCUCGAGGAGAGGUACAUGAGGGCUCAAGCACUGGUUCCAAUCCGCCCUGGUUUGAAGCACGGGAGGAGGGAGGCGGCCAGGAGGGUUGCUCGGCACGAGGAGCUUUCUUCCUUGCUGGAUCCUGGUGACGUGGUUGCCGGUGACGGCAGGGGAGCAAGGUCGCUCGGGGCCUGGUUGGUCUUGGGAUGAGUCCAGAGGAGAUGUGGGAGCGAAGGCAGCGCCUUGAUCCAUUCGGGAUCGAGCGUGGGGUCGAUCUGAGAGGGAGAGGUGGGGGUUGCUGGCUGGCAGGAUGGAUCUGGAGGGGAUCCCAGGGGAAGAUUUUGUGAGCGGGUGGCGGCGACAGAUCCGUCGAGGGGGGAGGCUGUAGGUGGCGGCGGCUAGGGGAACAAACAACCUAGAAUUUAGGGUUUGGUAUAUAAUUGGACAAGGAGGUCUAUAUAUAGCAAAAGAGAUCAUUAUAGGGCGGUUAGGUCCCUCUGAUCGAAAACGAGUGGUUGCGAAAAAAUGGUUUAGGGAGCCCAAUUAAGAAAACGGAGACGUUUUGUAGACGUUUGGGGAUGAUCCGGAUCCAACGGUGACGACUGCCCGGUUCGGGUCCGGGACAGCUCUCGGACGCACGCGCGAGGAGGGCCGCGGGCUGACGAGAGAGCUUAGGCUAGGCCUGGCGGUAGGUAGUGGGGUGUGUAGACGGUCUCGAGCUGAGAGAAGAGAAGAGAGGGAGGCCCGACGACUGUUUCCGGAGACCGAAAAUGUCCGACGUUAGAUCGGCUACUAUUGCCGCUAUAUUUAUCCGUUGGGGCGUCAAGCGGACUUCGAAUGCGAUGAAACUUGGCAGGCGGUCUACUGAAAACAAAACAACACUGCAUGCCAACUUUCAACCCAUUCCGAGAACAUUUUUCCGGCCACUUAUAAAAUAAUAUUUCGGACAUGUCGUGGGCGUGUGCAAGUGUGCUUGGGCUCAGAACGGACAACAGAGAGGACGAGGAGACCGGGGCGGAUGCAAGUUUUGAAAACAUGAUGAUGCAAUGACAUAAUGACAUGACAAGAUGCAACACGCAAGCGAAUGACAUGGCAACGACGGUGAAUAGCUGGAAGACACCUGGCACAUCGGUCUCGGAGCGUCACAACACUCCACCACUACGAGAGGAUCUCAUCCCGAGAUCUAGAAUGGCACCGGGGAAAAUGGAAAAGAAAGAGAAGAGGUAAAACUAAGUUGCUUCUUUGACAAACGAGUGAAACCACAAGCCUUGCGAGGUUAAACAAUUGGAAGGAAGAAUACAACAUAGAUUAACAAAGUUGAAAACACUCCGUUAAGAAAGAGGAAUAAGAAAGAACUGAUUCGGGUAGCGCUUUGGUUGAAAAGAGAUGAAGACUUGAUAAAAUGAAAGAACUUGAGCAGCGGGCACACACUCCGGUUAAAUGGAUAAACCAAGAAAAGAACAUGAUCUUGACAAGAACAAUAAGAAGGGUAGAAGAGAGCAACAUCAUAAUGCCUCUGGAAGAAAAGAGAGAAUGGAAAGGAGUGAACGAAGGGAAACAAGAUCUUGGCAGAGCACGCUUACAACAAGUGCUAGAACGGAGUUGUUGGAAAAAACCAACGAUGAAAAGAAUAAGCUUGAUAUGGUCUUAUGGAAUACAUCUCAAAUUAUGAGGUGACAACCUACCACUCACGGGAAAAAGAAUUGGAAUGAUAUGAACAAGGAGACGAGAAAGUAUAUCACCGGGAGGAUAAAAGAAGAACUUGGGUCAUUUAUAAGCACCAUAAAUAGCAACAAUCCGUAGGGAAGGCUUUAGGCGUAACAUGACACAAGAUAACUCCAACGAAGGGAUUGAUGGAUUUAAAAUACCUCAUUCUUAACAACAUGUAAAACAUGAAACAUGAACUCAAAUUAUCAAGAAUGACAUAAUAACAUCCCCAGUGAUACGGUAGAAAGGAUUGCACUUCGGAAUGCAAGAUGAAGAAUACAUGAGCUCCUCUGAAAAGAAUCUCGAUGAACACUUCGAGAAGGAAUUAAAUCCUUGAUGAACCAUCAUGUAGAACCUUCAUGAAGAACUCCGGUAAUAAAAGAAUGAUCAAACGAAAUGAAGGAUGAAAAGAAUAAGGUUGAAGCCUUGCAAUGAUUUAGAUGGAUCUUUGUGAUGAUAUAAUUGAGAUAUCUUGGAACUUCAGGAAAGAAAAUAUAAACAAAAGAAAUCAAGAAUUUUGAUGAACCUCCGGAAUAAGUAAUUGAAUUUACUCGAUGAAACAAGAAUAAGAAUUACAUUAUGCUUACCCUUCACCAAUUAAAUUGAUGACAAGCAACGGAUUUGGCAUACUACUUAUUCUCGUAUAAAGGAUUUAAGAUAGAUAGCGCCAAUUUGGGAAGGUCUCCAACGAACCACCGGUAGGAUUGGAAAGAACAAAUGAAUUGACAUGAUAAAUGAAGGAAGAAGAAUCUUGCAAGUACCACCGUAAGAAUUGAAAAAGAACGCAUAAAAGAUAACGAAUCACCGGGAAGAAUUUGCAAAUGAACGAAGAUGCUUGAGAGAAACUAGAUACAUGAGAACGAAGGGAUCACGAACUGAUUAGAGAUCACUUGAACGAAGCACCGGUAAGAUUGGAGAACGAGAGCUGAAAGCUGAGAAUGAAUAAAUUCUGAGAUGAUGGGCUCCGGAGAAGCAAACUACAAAGCCUCCUGAAUUGCUCGGGAAGGAUGAAAAGAAUUCUCACAACCAAAACAAUUAUGAGAGGAUGGCAGCAAGCUAGAAUCAUGAAUCUUUGAGAGAACGGAUAUGAUUUGGAGGAAAAACUCUUCUUUGGUCUUCAAAUCCUGAGAAUGACGACGAGAAACACCAACAAAAAUUGUUGAGGCACUCCGGAAUGAAGAAUAUAAAGGUUGAACCAACGAUGAAAUAUAAUUUGAAAGAUCUUGGUGAAAGACAUUUGACUGAUGAUAAUUCAUUCUUACGUCAAACUUUAGAAGAUUUGAGAAUAACUCUGGGAGAAUAAGAAGAGUCAGGUAAGAUCCUGGGAAAAGACCUAUGGGUUAGGGCCCACUCAAGAGAAACACCGUUGAAAUGAUUUAAAAGGGAGAAUGCACCAGUUGAAUUAAAAUGUCUUGAAUGAGAUACCAAUCUUGAAAGAGCUUGAACGAAUGCAGAGUGGAAACAUGAAUCUUCGAGAUAUCUUCAGCACUCCAGAACAAUUGAAUAGCGAGAGGUGAAUGAUUAAGAAUUGCACCGGCAUGAGAAGGUAUUGAUACGAGGAAAAAGGUAUGAUCAAAAAAACUUGACUUGAAUCCACCAGAGAAGAAAAAGCAUGAAGAAUGAUGAACUUGAAUCUCCGUUAGACUCUUCAUGAGAAUCACCGGAUAAGAAUAUUGAUGGAAAAGGAAGAGGAACACUUCAUAACCAAUAAGAUGGAUACUUGAUUAAGAAUUCUGAGUCCUCGAAGAAAAAGGGUGGGUGGGUGGGAAAACAAAGGCAGCUUGGGACGAAUGAAAUGAAUACCGUUGAGAAGAACUGAGAUUGGAUCUUGCAGAUGUUGAAAUGAUCGGAUCCACUUGAAGGGAAGCUCACCGGUUGAGAAGAAAUUGAAAUGAGCAACUCGAUGAUCGAGAAGGAUUAGUACUCACAUAGAAAUGUGAGAACACCGCUUAGGAAAGGUAUGGAAUCAACAUUUGACUUCGAAGCAACUCGAAUACCACAAUCAAAACAAAACAAUGGAUUGGCUUGCAAAAUAAGCCGGAACAAACAUAUGAUAGAGAUUUCGUCCGAAGUUUUCAUGGUGGGGCCUACACGGGCUUGAUCGUACAGCACCAUCAUGUACAAGGCAGUGCACAUGACAUACGAAGCAUCCCCGAGUCGGCAUAGCCAAGGACUCUUUAAGACACAAUGAGACCACUGUAAAACCAACCGUGAAUAGGUGGACCACUAGACGUCGAACCCCAAUUUCAUAUCAUACACCUGUCGGAAAGAUAUCCUACGAGCUACUUGAAUUCCCACUUAUAAACCCCCGAAAUUUUUCCGGUUAUGCAAUCAGGUGUUGGGGGUACAAGGGAAGCAUAAUAUCUCACCCAAAACUAACAAAUCCUACAUCCAGCUGUAUCCAUCCUUCAACACAUAACCAAGAAAUCUUCGGAAAUCGUCUACCUCAACCUUCGAAAAAGCAUCCGUUAUACGAGUUAUGGCAAUACUCCCAAACUCCCGCCCCAGUACUGGGUGACGUCGAGGUUAUCUCACCAACAACUGCAUAAAAGAGAUUUUCGAUGUCGGCGAAACUAAGCUCAGGUAUUCCAGAACUGCAACGAUAAAAUUGUGACGACAACACCUCAGAGCUCAACUGCCCGGGACACUGCCGCAACCCCUAAAUGACAGGAGGCACCAAGAACAAUGUUCUCGUCACAAAACCAUCGGAACGAUUCCAAGAUACCCGUGUGAUCCUAAUUUUUUUAGUGAAAUUUGAGAAGAGUAGAGUCAAAACUCUACGUCAGGAUGCCUCACCAGAGCGACGAAGGGACUGAGGAGUAAAAAGAAUUCCUAACUCUCUGAUAUAUAUAAUUCCUAAAAGACUCAAAACAUUUCUAGACUCAAUAAUGCCAGCGAUUCGAUCAAGUUGGGGGCUCCUAAGGUCGGGGAAGGCUUUGAUUACCAACUUGUAACGCCCUCGAUGCGCCUAUAUCUCCCACGUGUUGAAGCACGACAUAGAGGCAUAACCGCAUUGAAAGCAAUGUCGCAAGUGAGGUAAUCUUCACACAACCCAUGUAAUAAAUAAGGGAAAAAGAUACAUAGUUGGCUUACAAUCGCCACUUCACACAAUUACAUGAAAAAAGCAUUACAUCAACCAGAUACAAUCAAGGUCCGACUACGGAACCAAAAUAAAAUAAGA